AACGAUUUCAAAUACAAAGAAAGUAACGGCUCUUUUCCUGAAAGAAACAACCGCUGCGCAAGAACAUCCAGUAUGCAUGAGUUCUCUUAAAAUCUCAAAGGGUUCACAGAGCAGCACUAUUGCACUGAAGAUGUUCAAGAGGCGAGUAAACAUUUGCUCCUCAAGCUCAUCCAUCUGUGCACAACAGCAACUCUGCUGCCUGGAUGCGUACUCACAGUUCUAGCUUCCACACGGCAGAUGGCCCUCCCAUGCAUCUGAAAGAGAAAGGAACAAGAGGUUUCUUCGGAUCCUCUGUUAAGUUCACUGCAAUGACUCUCCUUACUGGCAGAAACUCAAAUGGGUUUUAUAUGAAGAGUCCUUCUCACUCACUGUGUGAGGAAGUGUGAGAACAAUGAUAUCUGCACUGUUAAUUGUUGGUGCUUAUAGUUUUCAUUAGCGUUGAUGUCAGACACAGAGGGCCGUCCCACCCUGAUGGCCAUCAGUCUUUGUGCAUCUGUGUGUGUAUGGGUGUGCAUAUUUGUACACAUCCUAUAGUUGCUCUGAUGUUAAAUCCCAAGGAAGUGCAAAGCACACUCAGAUGUCUCCCUGAGCUGAAGUCCUCAAUGUCUGUGUGUUAUAAGAGCGUGAUAACUGAUAAAACAGAAAAAGGGACAAGAGUAUCAGUAGGUAAGCUGGCUCUGGUUGCACGUGUUUUUGCACUGAUAUUAUCAGUUAUAGGUGUAUCAAAAACCUUAUUUUUAUUGGGUCAGUACUGAUUUGUUCUUUAGUGAGAUCAGAUGUAGUAUGUGUUUGUGUUGUGGGUUUGGAUUUAUUAGGGUUCAUCGCACUGAUGUAAUUCAGCAGCAUCAUCUGUGUAAUGAUAAAAACAUAAAUCACUCAAUUUUCUAAAGACAUAGCAUUAUUACAUGGGAGUAUGAAAUGGAAAUUGAGAGGAAC
ensembl:lncRNA